GCACCAGCUCUUGCACACCGGAGAGAAGC
rnacentral:piRNA from 1 species